UCCGUAGGUGAACCUGCGGAGGGAUCAUUACUGAGUUACCGCUCUAUAACCCUUUGUGAACAUACCUAACCGUUGCUUCGGCGGGCAGGGGAAGCCUCUCGCGGGCCUCCCCUCCCGGCGCCGGCCCCACCACGGGGACGGGGCGCCCGCCGGAGGAAACCAAACUCUAUUUACACGACGUCUCUUCUGAGUGGCACAAGCAAAUAAUUAAAACUUUUAACAACGGAUCUCUUGGUUCUGGCAUCGAUGAAGAACGCAGCGAAAUGCGAUAAGUAAUGUGAAUUGCAGAAUUCAGUGAAUCAUCGAAUCUUUGAACGCACAUUGCGCUCGCCAGCAUUCUGGCGAGCAUGCCUGUUCGAGCGUCAUUUCAACCCUCAAGCACCGCUUGGUUUUGGGGCCCCACGGCACACGUGGGCCCUUAAAGGUAGUGGCGGACCCUCCCGGAGCCUCCUUUGCGUAGUAACUAACGUCUCGCACUGGGAUUCGGAGGGACUCUUGCCGUAAAACCCCCCAAUUUUUUACAGGUUGACCUCGGAUCAGGUAGGAAUACCCGCUGAACUUAAGCAUAUCAAUAAGCGGAGGAA
rnacentral:rRNA from 1 species